rnacentral:lncRNA from 1 species
GUGAGCAGUCUUUGCCAGAAGACCAAGGUACGCCUGACCAGGCUUUGUCUGAAGGACAUUGUAGCACUGAACGGCUUCUGCCAGAAGGGCACUGCAGCACGAGAAUAUACUCUAUGAAACAUUCCAAAGCAAAAGAAAACAUCAAACCAAAAGGCACACGAAGAAUAUGAGCAAGCUCCAUGUGCGGCGAAGAAACAAGAAUUUGAGAGGCAAAAACAAGAGACAGGAGAACCUGCAAAGCGCUACCAACACAAGAAAUGGAAGUGUUCAAAUGCUGAGUCAGAAGACUCAAAACGGACAAAUUUGAAUUUACAAAGGGAGUAUUUUCUGAAAAAAUACUGGAAAAGAUUAAAGGGUAAAGAUUUGGGGUAAAAAUAUGAACUUCGUAUUGAGUAUUUUUGUAUGGGGGACUGUCCUCCUACAUGUAACUAAAUUUGUCAACAUAAACUGGGUUGGAAAGUUAUAGGGGGAAACACACACAAACAAAACAGGUGUAGGAGUCAUGCCGUUUCAAAUCCUUUCAUUCUCGUUCAUAGUUCAGCUGAUCGUCGUCCUUGAGACGCGACAAGGACGUCAAGCAUCCUUCAGCAAAUCGUUGCCAAGUCGUGCCAAAUGCCGUUUAAACCGGAUUUGCCCGCAUUGCUUCAUCACGUUCUUUCUUAAAGCAGUACGACAUCUUGGGUGCAACGGAAACGAGAAACCAGUUUCUCGUAGCACCAGCAGUCUUUCCUGUCCAAAAUGCAAACUAGGUUUCACUGCCCGCAGACAAAUCAGUUCAAUGAAUUCCUUUAACACGUCUUGGUAGGGUGAUUCAUUUGGCAGAAAGAGCAUCAUCUUACCCUCGAGAUAAAUCCACACAAGGUGCCUUAGGAAGCGCAGGAGGAGGUCUCGUAUAAGGAAAUCGUUCUGGCUCUCCCGCCAAACAUAAUGAAUAUCGCCUUGCUUUCGGUCAGGCGGUGGCUGGGACUUAAUUGACAGGGGUGCCUGAGCGUCUCCGCAGAGAGGCCAGGGUCACUACAGACAGAAGCUGAAAGUCGUUCACUGCUCUCCUAGUGAGGAGGAGGGCCCGCGCAGGGUGCAGGGACCCAGGGAAGCCGCAGGUUUUUAAAGCGCUGUGGAAGUUUGAGGGGGGCGUGUCGAAGCCUGAGCUGACAUCUGGUGGUUUGGGGAAAAAAGUUCUGCAGGAAGGGGCAGAGGUGUGGGCCAAGCCAGCUGCUGCAUAUCCCUUUUUGAAUAAGCCGAGCGUGUUGGAGCUCUGGAGGUGGUCUCUGAGAAGCCGGGGACCGGGACCGUGGGCACAUGGGCUACGUGUGUGUGAGAAUCAAAUCUGGACGCACUCGUGUCUCGAGAGGGCUGAAAAGCUUGCUAGGGGUAGUGUCAUUGCACCCGAAUCCUUGGGCACGUUGUGGCCAUCAGAAGCCGUGCAGGGACUCCAGAUGGCGGGAGACACCGUUCCCGAAGCUCCUUGAGUGCAGGCGUCUCUGAGGGCGCUGACGGGACUGUCUGUUGACUCUGAUGUGGAAGGGAGAUGUGUACGUGAGCACUGUGUUGCUUCAGAACCCCAGGAAAGGACCAGAAGGCGUGAGACGUCUGUGUCCUUCGCACAUGAAACGUGCUUCCACUGCAUCUCCUUGAAGGCGGAUGUCAUCCUGAAACCUCACGCUGCUGUCGGAAGAAGUGUGGUGGGUGCGGCUGCUCCGCUCUCAAACAAGCAGACCGGCCAGGUUGGCGGAAAGAAGGAAAG